rnacentral:rRNA from 1 species
GUGACCUGCCUCUGGAUGGGGGAUAACCCGGGGAAACUCGGGCUAAUACCGCAUAACAUCUAAGGAUCAAAGAGGGCCGCAAGGCUCUCGUCCGGAGAGGGGCUCGCGUACGAUUAGCUAGUUGGUGGGGUAAUGGCCUACCAAGGCGACGAUCGUUAGCCGGUCUGAGAGGGUGAUCGGCCACACUGGAACUGAGACACGGUCCAGACUCCUACGGGAGGCAGCAGUGGGGAAUUUUGCGCAAUGGGCGAAAGCCUGACGCAGCAACGCCGCGUGGAGGAUGAAGGUCUUCGGAUUGUAAACUCCUGUCAGCAGGGAACAAAUGCACCGGCCGAAUACGCCGGUGUUUUGAGUGUACCUGCAGAGGAAGCCCCGGCUAACUCUGUGCCAGCAGCCGCGGUAAUACAGAGGGGGCAAGCGUUAUUCGGAAUUAUUGGGCGUAAAGGGCGCGUAGGCGGCUUCGCAAGUGGAAGGUGAAAUCCCUCGGCUCAACCGAGGAACUG